rnacentral:rRNA from 1 species
GUGUCAGCCGCCGCGGUAAUACGUAGGGGGCAAGCGUUGUCCGGAAUUAUUGGGCGUAAAGCGCGCGCAGGCGGUUUUUUAAGUCUGGUGUUUAAGUGCGGGGCUCAACCCCGUGACGCACUGGAAACUGGGGAACUUGAGUGCAGAAGAGGAGAGCGGAAUUCCACGUGUAGCGGUGAAAUGCGUAGAGAUGUGGAGGAACACCAGUGGCGAAGGCGGCUUUCUGGUCUGUAACUGACGCUGAGGCGCGAAAGCGUGGGGAGCAAACAGGAUUAGAUACCCUAGUAGUCC